CAAGCAAGAGUCUUAGCAAGCAUUGUCUUUAAAUCCACAACAACUCUCGGAGUGCAAGACUAAAAUGUUUUGUGCUUUGUUGCAGGAAUUGAUCUUCUCUGGAAUGAAAGAAGCCAGGAAACCAGAUGCUGGGGAGCAGGGAGUGGAGCCCAGGAGAUACUGACAGGAUUUGAACUUGGUGGUGAGUGACAUCUGAGGAGUAGGCCCAGCAAAGUGAGCGAUGCUGCAGCAUGAACAUAAGAGGAUCACACAGAAGUCAUGGAAACCUGAGAUCCAAAGGAUCAUGACAUUAUGGAAAGAAUUCUUGUACAACCUUCUCAAGUCCAUAAUUGAGAUGUGCACAGAGCUUGGAAUGCCUAAUCAAUUCAUUUUAAUGGCAAAAGAGAUUGAUUGCAGAUCUGUUCUGCCUUCCUGAAGAUAAUUUUGAAAAAGUUAGCAAAAGGGUAAUAUAAGUCGUAGGCAACAUGAAUCUUAGGCUGAGUGAAGUAUAUGCUCUGAACCUCUCCUGGGGCAAUUCCAGUGGGUAGGAUUUUCAGCGGGGGUUAAUGCAAGAGGUUAAGAAGCAGCACCAUGGUGUCACCAUUAAACAAAGACGUUAAAAAAGCUGUGAGGGUUUGGGAUUAAAUCUUACAACAUAACAAUUAGGUUGAAAGAAGUUAUAGGGCUCAUAUAUGUCCGCAGAUAAAGUGGGCAAUUUGCGCUUUUUCCCACAGUCAUUUCACCUAAAGGUACUUGGAUCAAAAAAUGUGCUCUUGGCACUCUUGUAAAGUUAUAGGAAACUGAAAAUCAGCCACAUUAAACAGGCAUACAUAGAAUGUUAGGGCUCUGGCACACAGGGAGAUUAGUCGCCCGCGACAAAUCUCCCUGUUCGCGGGCGACU